CACUGGUACUGAGACACGGACCAGACUCCUACGGGAGGCAGCAGUGAGGAAUAUUGCACAAUGGGGGAAACCCUGAUGCAGCAACGCCGCGUGGAGGGUGACGCAUUUCGGUGUGUAAACUCCUUUUAUGAGUCAAGAAAAUGACGGUAGCUCAUGAGGAAGCACCGGCUAACUCCGUGCCAGCAGCCGCGGUAAUACGGAGGGUGCAAGCGUUACUCGGGAAUCACUGGGCGUAAAGGACGCGUAGGCGGGUUGGUAAGUCAGAUGUGAAAUCCUUACAGCUCAACUGUAGAACUGCAUUUGAAACUACUAACCUAGAGUAUGGGAGGGGGAGAUGGAAUUAGUGGUGUAGGGGUAAAAUCCGUAGAUAUCACUAGGAAUACCUAAAGCGAAGGCGAUCUCCUGGAACAUUACUGACGCUAAGGCGUGAAAGCGUGUGGAGCAAACGGGAUUAGAUACCCCGGUAGUCCACGCCCUAAACGAUGAACACUAGUCGUCGGGAUGCUUGUCAUCUCGGUGAUGCACUUAACAGAUUAAGUGUUCCGCCUGGGGAGUACGGUCGCAAGAUUAAAACUCAAAGGAAUAGACGGGGACCCGCACAAGUGGUGGAGCAUGUGGUUUAAUUCGAAGAUACGCGAAGAACCUUACCUAGCCUUGACAUUGAUAGAACACACCAGAGAUGGAGUGGUGCCCUUCGGGGAACUUGAAAACAGGUGCUGCACGGCUGUCGUCAGCUCGUGUCGUGAGAUGUUGGGUUAAGUCCCGCAACGAGCGCAACCCUCGUCCUUAGUUGCCAGCAGGUUAAGCUGGGCACUCUAGGGAGACUGCCUUCGCAAGGAGGAGGAAGGUGAGGACGACGUCAAGUCAUCAUGGCCCUUAUGGCUAGGGCUACACACGUGCUACAAUGGGGCGUACAGAGAGUUGCAAUACCGCGAGGUGGAGCCAAUCUCACAAAGCGUCUCUCAGUUCGGAUUGAAGUCUGCAACUCGACUUCAUGAAGCUGGAAUCACUAGUAAUCGUAGAUCAGCAAUGCUACGGUGAAUACGUUCCCGGGUCUUGUACUCACCGCCCGUCACACCAUGGGAGUUGAUUUCACCCGAAAUUGGGAAGCUAACCUUCGGGAGGCUACCACUUACGGUGGAAUUAGCGACUGGGGUGAAGUCGUAACAAGGUAACC
rnacentral:rRNA from 1 species